rnacentral:rRNA from 1 species
CCUACGGGAGGCAGCAGUGAGGAAUAUUGGUCAAUGGGCUUACGCCUGAACCAGCCAAGUCGCGUGAGGGAAGACUGCCCUAUGGGUUGUAAACCUCUUUUGUCGGGGAGCAACGCCGGCUACGUGUAGCCGGACUGAGAGUACCUGACGAAAAAGCAUCGGCUAACUCCGUGCCAGCAGCCGCGGUAAUACGUAGGGGGCAAGCGUUAUCCGGAAUUACUGGGUGUAAAGGGGGCGUAGACGGUUAAGUAAGUCUGGCGGGAAAGGCCGGGGGCCAACCCCGGGACUGCUGUGGAAACUAGUGAACUUGAGUGCAGGAGAGGUAAGCGGAAUUCCUAGUGUAGCGGUGAAAUGCGUAGAUAUUAGGAGGAACACCAGUGGCGAAGGCGGCUUACUGGACUGUAACUGACGUUGAGGCUCGAAAGCGUGGGGAGCAAACAGGAUUAGAUACCCUAGUAGUC